rnacentral:misc_RNA from 1 species
GAAUAUGGAGCAAUUUAUUGAGAGAAGUUCUAAACAAAUUGUCUUGCCAAUAAAGAUUAGCCAAGGCAAUUAGCAAUGCACCCCACAAAGUAUUUCAAAAUCAUAGUAUCUUAAAUAAUUCAAGCAUUAUAAUCAUGGUAUUUAAAUCUAAUUCUAUCAUUUCUGUACGGUGUAACCAAAAACUAAAAAUUUGUCAAUCUCGUUUCAAGGCCUUGGUUAUGAAGGCUCUUGUAAUUGCUAUUGCAAGGUAAGCCAAAAUAGUGAUGGCAAUACCUCCGAACAAAACAAAACGAUCAAAAGUGGCAUCCUGAACUGUAUAUACCCGAAGGCCUAUUGCAUCCCAAUUGCUCUCUGUCCACACAGGGUCCACCAUCCCCAAGGGAUCAGAGGAAUUUGAUGGUAAAACAUUCCAUGAUCCAGAUUCAAACUUCAAUCGGGUUGAAUAUGCAGGCACAUACCUGAAAUGAUCAAAAAACAAGUUAUUGGAAAUUGCAAUUUCAUAAUCACAUGCCACGAAUAGAGAUUCCCUGCUAAUAAUCUAGCAGUUUGAUGCAGCCAUGUCUCUCCAUUACAGGCAACUGAUUAAUGGGGCAGGACAGAGUGAAGACAAAACUGCAUACUUAAGCUGUUCUCUAUGCAGGCAAUCAACAGGAUUAAGCAAAUGGAAGAAACGAAAAUGAAUAACAGUACCUAAGCUGUUCUCAAUGCAAGCUAGAAUUCGGUGGUGCUGUGAGAAGUUUUUACCUAUUGCACUAUUUGCAUGGCACCAGACCAUAAUACCUUUGCAUUAAUGCACAUACAAAGAUAUGGAAUCAGGGUUUGCUUUAGUCAGACAAUUUCAAAUGAGUCAGUUUGGGCACAAACAGGCCGCAUAUGUGGGGGGCAAUAAAGCAAACAAUUGCUUGCUGCAGUCUGAGUAAAUUUUGUUAGACAUUCAGGGUAUUCUCUGAAUUACCAUUCUAAUUUAGCAGCUUGUAGCUAGUACUUUACCUUGUAGUAGAAAAAACACACACUCCCUUCCCAUUUGUUUCUGCCCUAAUGCAGACUUCAUCUUUGUUGCUGCAACCUUUUGAGCAAUCAUUGCUAGUAUUCUCUGUGGGAAUAGAAGUUCUAUCAGCCAAAAAAUUCCAUAUGAACCUGGAAACAUCACUGACAUAUCCAAGAUACGGAGUUGAUGAAGGUUCCCCAAUGACAACACCAACAUAAUGACUUGGGCAAGAAGCAGUAGGUGAUAUAUAGUCCUUAACCAGCUCGCAAGUCAAACCGGGGUCACAGUUCAACAGACAACCCAUCAUUUCUUCAACUAGAGAGGCGUUCACAUUGAUGGCACUUAAAGCUGAACUGCUUAAAUUUUUGCUGCCACUUGCAAGGAUGUAAAGGGUGCGAGCAAUAAGAGAUGCAGCUGCGACUAUAGCUGAAGAGUUUAUGUUUGCUGCAUUUAAGAUAUCCCAAUAAAAAUAUGUAGCAUGUGUUGCAGAUAUAUAUACUCCCAAAGGGAAAGCCAUUUAGAACAUAAAUCAACUCACACAUAUCAUCAAGGUGACUAUGGUAGAACUUGUUGGCAAAAGCAGUAUCAAAAUCUUCCAAUACAAUCCCAGAGGUUGAUGAGUUCUGCCAAUAGAGAGAGAAAUUGCACAAGCAUUAUAGAUUUAUGAUACCAACUAUUUUCCCAAACCAAUGGUUACAACCACUGACACAAAGCAACAAAGGGAAUUUUUAGUUCUAUCAAAAUAUAAUGUAACUUUCAUGUUCACAAUUGCUUAUGAAUUUAUUUCUCCCACUUUUACAUUGUACAGUAAAAAUCAACCCAAAUCAGACCUGUCCAAAAAAAAUAGAGAAUGAAAUGGCCAAAGAAGACGAAAGAACCCUUGGUUCUAACUCAAAAACACAAGUUCUAAAAUACAUUUCAACCCCUCGUAUAUCUCACCCUCUCCAAGUGCACCAAUUUAAGGCAUAAUGGGAGUGGGUUCCAAAACUAACUAAAAAUCCCCUUCCAAUAACCAGUAACUGAGGCAGAUACCUUGGAAUCACCCAAAAGCCUCGAGUAGCAAGAAACUUAAUGACACUAGUUCCCUUGCAACUCUGCAAAGCAAUAGAAGGUGCGGAACAGCCUCCUCACUAUUCCAUUAAAUACAACAAAUUCAUAAUAAUUUGAUUUCCGUGCGCCAGAUCACCUACAGUCCAUGAAGAAAGCUCUUUAUGGGAGUGCUCAAGUGCCUUUAACUUCCAAAUGCACAUCCCGGGAAUAUUUUUGCCCACAAAUCACAAUGCCUUGCAAACUCACAUAAUAAGAACUUGGAUGAAACCUAGUGUAGAAUAGAAGAAAGUUAAACUUAUCCUCACUGCUCUUUGGCAUCCACGGUUCCUUCACACAAACACGACACCAAUCCAUAAUAAUUUGAUUGCUCUUAAUAGGAUAGUCAAAGUUGUCCUUAUUGAUGUAAAUCAGAAAUAAGGCAGUGUAUAAAAAACGCAAUAAUGACUUCAAGUUAACUCACUAACCUUUCUCAGAAAUGCCAUCAAAGAUGAUGGGGGCACCCCAGGAUUUGUAGUGCUUGCUGUUGCAAUCAUAACAUUUUUGGAUUCAAGUGAAUCUUGAGCAUGUUUGAAGGCGUUCAAUAUUUCAUUUGUGGCUGAAGAAACCUACAUUAAUGAACACUACGAUUACACAAAUCAGACAUGCUAAGUAACAAAGCUAAUCAUCAAUUCAUCGCAUAAGAGGUUCACACAUACAAGACAAUAUACUACAAAGUCAAGCAUCUAUUACUUUCCAAUGUAACAGGGGGGAAAAAAGAAAAAAAACCCAACCAUCCAUGACAUUUUAGGCAAAAUAGAGCCAAAAAAAAAAAAAAAACAUGUAAUUACAGGAAACAAGGGACUAAUCUGAAUUUCUAAAAUAGGUAGUCCUAGAAUUUUUUAUGCCAUAAAAGACAAAAUGAGAACACACAAAAAAAAAAUCUGAAAUUUAAAUUUCAAAUUUUAAUCAUCCAACAACCUAGGCUAAAGAGAUCUAAGAAAACUCAUAUAAGUCCACAAAAUAAAACCUAACCUUUGUAACAAAGUCCAAUACCCAAAUAUCCUAACUAAUUAAAAUGCUCAAAUAAUUAUUUUCUUUUGUUUCCCCUAAAAUAUGUAGUACUAAAAUCUCUAGUAGGUCAGUCCCACAUUAGGAACAGAUAAAAAUGCUAAUUUAGGAGUUUAAGGGGGGUAAAUCCAUGUUAUUUGCAUCUCUGACUAUAAGAUCCAUGAUAUCAUGAUAAAAGAAAGUUCGAGCAAAACAAAUCAAUGAACAUCAUUCAAAAGAUUUUGUUUCCCGUUAAAUGCCCACAUUUAGCAUGCCAACUACACCACCUUGUCUUUCAACCAAGAUUAUGGAUCUCAAAGAAGGAAAUAAGGUAACCAAGUGCAAAGUUUCAAAUCUAAAUUGAUCUCAACUCUCAUCCAUCAUAUUAUUGAUUCCUGGAUGUAAAUAUUAACAUAUAGAAUUUCAAUAUUUUUGCCACCAAGACUUGUAAAAGAGUUUUAGUCUACUUAACUUACUAUUAAGUUGCAGUACUACUUGGAUCAUGAACUUGCCUGAAAAAUUCCUCUUACCAAAUUUGCUACAAUUUUUAAUCUUCCAACACUGUGUGAAGUGUCAUGUAAUCAGUUGAUUAAUAAUAUCAAAUACAAAUAUUUGGAGCAGCAAAUGUUGCUGCCACUGUCACCAUCUAAAAAUGCCAGCAUAUCAAAGUUUAUUUACCAAUAUAAACUGUUGCAGAAAAUUCUUCUACUGAGCAAAAGGAAAGAGGCAGGAGGGUUUAUUCUAGAAGAGGACAAAAGGCUCUGGAGAGAGGACAGCAAAGCACCAUUCCAUUAGAGGGAAUACCGGAAAUCACAUGAGUUGGCAACAAGGAGAUGUUAUAUAGAAAAUUGAAUAGCUGAAAUGACGACAUGGAUUUUGGCAUUUUCUUCCAGCUAGUGGCUUGGGGGCAGUUUGUAUGCUGCUGGGAUGUGAGGAGGGAUAUUUCCAUUUGUGUUCUUGAGAAUAUCUUGUAAUCCACCUGGAAUCCUUACGAAAUUAUUGAAUAAAAGCUCUCUAUUCCUUGCUGCUGCAAAUUACACUGUUUGUUUCCUUGUUGCACAAUUUUUCUGUGUUCUUUACUGUUUAUUUACAAGUUCUGUUCCUUUUACUCUAUCACAAACACUGACACCUCUAUCAUUAACUCCAUAUUCUCUAAACAAGCUACAACAUAGUUAUAUUCAAUAAACACAUCUAGCUAUAGAGAGCAAAAGAUGAAGAGGAAUAAAAAAAGAAAUACAAGAAAUUGAAUGCAAAAAGUAGAAGAGAAAAUGUUUGCACCCCUGAUGUGUGAGCGAAAAAGGUUUUAUUCCCUCCAAUGAAGCCUUUCCCAACAGAUCCAAUUUCUAUGACAUUUUCAGGUGAGAACCACGAUGAAUACCAUCUCAAUUAGUGUGUCAUUAAGGCCAUUAACUGCAUCUGACUGUAAAUCAAGUUCAAGCAAAAAUCUCCUGCUACCAAGAUAGCCCCAUGCCUCCCCAGUGAAAACUGAAAAGACAAGCUGCUUACUAAGAUCACCCAGACCAUUCAUAUGAGAAAGUGAAUCAACUGCUGCCAACAAGGAAAUCAGUCCCUAUAAAAGUUUCAAAAGAAAGUCAGUGUAUUGAUUUAAGACAGAAUAAACAUGAUCAAGAACUAAAAAAAGGCUUUAAGAAUGACUAAAUAUGCAUCAAAAACCUUGAACUUACAGAAAUAGGAGAUUCUGCACCUAAACUUUUGUCACGGAAAAAUGAAGCAGAAUCCGUAGAUGCCGCAAUUAAUAUAAUGGGCUUGGAUUGACUUGAGGAUGAAAUAUUAAUUGGCGGGAGUGAUGACCAAACACUUCCUUUCACAAUUAACAUAGACAAUUAAAAUUUAAGCUGCAAUUUUGAAGUAAAAAAACUUAAUCAUCUCUACAACACAAAGUCAGGUUACACUGUUAGUGAACCACUGGCUCCAAAAUACUGAAUUUGUUUUUCCAUCAAAUAGUUCAACUCAGUUCACAAAAAAGCAAGUGACCAGCUCAUGUAAAAUCUUCAGCUGCAGGCUUGAUGCGACUCAUUAGCUAAACAAGCCUCCCAAGCUUGUAAAAAAAUUUUACAUCAAACACAAGCUUAGUUCCAUUGAGCUUGUAGUCUUACAAACAGGCUGGCACCUGGCAUAUAACUCAGUUUGCUACUUACAGAGGGGAGAUGAUCCUUAUAAGGACUACAGAUUUUUUUAAAGUGGGAUUUUUCCCUUAGGAAUAGUAUUAGAACCAAGCAACAGAAUAUAGUAUCUUAUACAAGCAUACACAAGCUCCCGUGCAUUAUAAAUUCAUCAGAUAAUGAUCCAAAAUGAGGCUCAGCAGCUCAGCACUAAACAAUAUAAUGAUUUUGAAACCAACCGGUUCAUUAACCGAAACACUAAACAGCAAAAAGAGAAAAGAAAAUCCAACACAACCUACCUGUAUCCACCUAAAGGAAGGCAAGUCUGUUCUCUUAAACAAGAUUCUGAAUUAUGAGUCCCAGAUUUUGUAGUCUUAAGGAAAAGCCAAACACAUUAGAAAUCAGUUCAAAUAUAUCAGCUAGUUCAAAUAUUUAACAAACAGUGAAGAAGUCAAGAAGAUCAUCGUCAUGUACCUGCAUCACCAAAUCAAACUCAGCGACAUCUGCUGUAUAAGCAUUCUUUUGUUUCUCAUUCUUUGUGGCAACCUCCUGCAUGAUCUGACUACUCUCCUCAGAGAGCAAAAAUACAGGAAAAUCAUAAGCUUUCCACAUAAUACCAGAUCCCUGCAAAAGAAAUGGUGGUGAAACUUUAGCUAGUCAAGCAGGAAAAAAAAUCACAACUUCUAUGAGCAGUUUGCACAAAAAUAAAACAAAAUUCAGUGCCCAUCAAAGGGGCAUUCAUGGCAUCAAUAAUCUCAUGUCAGUAUACACCAACUGUUUCAUUUUAAUUAUUCCACAAGGACAGAUACUGUGAACGCUUAACCAUUUUUCAUCAAUUAAAUGAAAUAGUUAACAUUGUCAUGAUAUUUUACCAUCGGACAUGAUCAAUAAAAGGAAGGUUCAGAAAUCUGCAGUACAAACCAACCAACACAUAAAAAGAGGCUGGACAACAACAAGCUGACUAAGAUUAGAAUAAUAAUAACUACAAACUCUCAGAAAAUUGUUCACUAAUUUCACUAUACACUCAUAGCAUACAAUGGGGUUCCAUUCAUAGCUGACGCUUUUAUAAGGUGCAAAUUCAACUUCUGGGAACUUUUGAGCUGGAGAGAACUCUGUUAUGUUAUUUUGCAUGUUGGUUCUAGACUCGACUAAAACACCACCUACAUUCUUGGCAAAACUUGAAUCAUCUGAUAUUCUGUCAAAAAGUUCUUGAAUUUCAUCUAAUGAUACAAAAACAGCAGAUGAACGAGCCAACUGAUUAGCAUUCCUGAAUCUUAUAAUAGGAGUGACAACCUUGUCUCUUCCAGGAUUAGCACAACCAAUCUCUCCAGAAAGAUUCAGCAGCCGUACACAAGGAUAUCCAUCAAUGACCGUGUACAUAGACUUCUGGAGAUCAGGAACAGACUGCAUAGAGUUUGUCUGUUCUGACAAAGAGAGUCGAAACUGAAAAAUGAAGAGCAAAAGAAGAAGAUAAAGAGAAAUUAGCUUGGUGGCCAUGAGGAGCGUAAUCGAUGAUUUCUGGUGAAAAAUUAUAAACCCUAAGCCAUAGCGAUACUCAAAAAAAGAACUUAGAAACACUCUAUUCUGUGUUUCUGUGAGGAAUUUGAAGGAGAAUGACUAUUUUGCACGGUUGACUACAGAAUCAAUCAACUCCCAAUUUCUUUUUGAUUAUUGCCAAAUGCGAACCGGGUGGGAUUGGGCGGGCUGGAAAUGGAACGGGAUCGAUUUUUG